AACGAACGCUGGCGGCAGGCCUAACACAUGCAAGUCGAACGCCCUCUUCGGAGGGAGUGGCGCACGGGUGAGUAACGCGUGGGAACCUAGCCCUUGGUACGGAACAACCGCGGGAAACUGCGGCUAAUACCGUAUAUACCCUAUGGGGGAAAGAUUUAUCGCCGAGGGAUGGGCCCGCGUCUGAUUAGCUGGUUGGUGAGGUAACGGCUCACCAAGGCUUCGAUCAGUAGCUGGUCUGAGAGGAUGAUCAGCCACACUGGGACUGAGACACGGCCCAGACUCCUACGGGAGGCAGCAGUGGGGAAUAUUGGACAAUGGGCGCAAGCCUGAUCCAGCCAUGCCGCGUGAGUGAAGAAGGCCCUAGGGUUGUAAAGCUCUUUCAACGGUGACGAUGAUGACGGUAGCCGUAGAGAAGCCCCGGCUAACUCCGUGCCAGCCGCCGCUGUAAC
rnacentral:rRNA from 1 species